GGGGAUGUGGCGGAAUAUGUAACAGUAUUAAGGAGAAGUAGGUAUCGAAGCGCCUUGUUACAGGCGUGAGCUUCGCAGGUUCGAGCCCUGCCAUCCCCG
rnacentral:tRNA from 1 species